rfam:Acanthamoeba castellanii str. Neff unplaced genomic scaffold scf7180000084599, whole genome shotgun sequence.
GUAUCUUCUCGGCCUUUUGGCUAAGAUCAAGUGUAGUAUCUGUUCUUAUCAGCUUAAUCUCUGGUAGUGAAGCGUUCCUGCUUCACAUCAAGAUUAAACUUAUUUCUCGUGGGGGACCAGCUGGCACUCAUGCCCGCAGCUUGCUGUGGGCAGCCUCUGGUCGCCGAUCGGCUUCGCACUGCACGCACCGCGAAGUUCUUCAAACGGUCGACCCCUU